UACAGAGGGUGCAAGCGUUAAUCGGAAUUACUGGGCGUAAAGCGUGCGUAGGUGGUUUGUUAAGUCUGCUGUGAAAGCCCCGGGCUCAACCUGGGAAUGGCAGUGGAUACUGGCAAGCUGGAGUGCGGUAGAGGGUAGUGGAAUUCCCGGUGUAGCGGUGAAAUGCGUAGAGAUCGGGAGGAACACCAGUGGCGAAGGCGGCUACCUGGACCAGCACUGACACUGAGGCACGAAAGCGUGGGGAGCAAACAGG
rnacentral:rRNA from 1 species